UAAUAGCUUUAAACUCUGUUUCUGUGUAAUAAUUUCUAAAUCAGGCCCUUUUUGCGAGUCGCAAACGAACUCGCUGUUCCUUGUGCGUUUCUUUUGGCUAACGAUGGCUUUAUUUUUCAGCUACUUUGCACAUCCUGUAAAAAUGUAUCGGCAGUUUUGUGUGGUAAUUUCUUGGUGAUGACUGACGAUAACUAUUCCACCAACAAAGAUCACUUGUUAAUUGUUUGAUAAUUGUUGUUUUCCCUACUAAAUCUAUUUCACGGAGAUGACGAACAUUUUUGGUUUAUAUUUUCGUUUUCCGUCCCACUAUCGUCCGUGGAUGGUAAGGGCUGUCACUAGGUGGCUAAAUAUUUCAGUGUGUUUAGGGAUUGAACUAUUCAGCCUGUGUUGGUACUUGGUAGAGGGAUGUACUGGAGGGGGGGGUCACCACAGUUUUGAGACGAGAAACCAUUUGUCAUUCCUUUUCUUCCGAGACGCUGACCGAGAAGGUUACUCUAGUCAUUAUUGCUGGGUACUUUCAUUCCCGAAAUUGUUCUUCAUAAACAAAGGUUGGUGGAGAUUGUUCUCGAUGUGGAAUGCCAAAUCAACAAGAUAAGAUAAGAUGCCAAGCCUCUGUGAAGAGGCCUCUACCAUGUUGCGAUAUGAAAAUGUGCACACUAGGCAAGCUGAAAUGGUUUCAUUGGUUAGUGAAAGUUUGAGCUGUUCAUGGUUGUGAUGUUUGGUGUGGCAGUCAUUUUCUGAUAGAGAGUUGCACUGAAAUGGAUCUUCUACAGACUUGCAGUCCAACAUCAUACUUCAAUUUACCAUGUUGGUGUCGAUGCAGAGUUGAGCUGUUGUGCAAAAUAAUAGGUGUUGCCUCAUGGCUUUCUGGUAAUUUGUUGGUGUGUUCUUCUGCUACCUGUAUCUAUGUUGAGUUCAAUCGAACGGCGCCGUUCCGGACUUGAUCCAUUGGUGAAGCUAAGAAGAGGUUGCUGAACUUCAAGAGAUUGAUAAAUUAUUUAGUCUUAGAGAUUUUCAAAUUCAUAUCUCUUCUCUCUUUCCCCAAGUAAACAAAAUUUCCUCUUAGGUAAUUGUGUGGAUGGGUAAUUGCGUUAAGAUUUUAUAUGUAUUCAGUUAAACUUAAAACCAUAAAAAUCUUGUGUACAGAUUAAUUUACAUCUACCAUAACAAACCUGAAAUAAUCAAAAAUACCACCUUGUUAUAAAAUAAAUUAUUGAAAUCAUAA